GACGAACGCUGGCGGCGUGCCUAACACAUGCAAGUCGAACGGGGUGUCGAGAGCUUGCUCUUGACACUUAGUGGCGAACGGGUGAGUAACGCGUGAGAAACCUGCCUCUCAGUGGGGGACAACAGUUGGAAACGACUGCUAAUACCGCAUAACAUAUUCGAAGGGCAUCCUUUGAAUAUCAAAGCUUAAUGUGCUGAGAGAUGGUCUCGCGUCUGAUUAGCUAGUUGGCGGGGUAACGGCCCACCAAGGCGACGAUAGCUAUCCGGCCUGAGAGGGGUGAACGGACACAUUGGGACUGAGAUACGGCCCAGACUCCUACGGGAGGCAGCAGCUAAGAAUAUUGGGCAAUGGGCGCAAGCCUGACCCAGCAACGCCGUGUGAAGGAAGAAGGUCUUCGGAUUGAAACUUUGUCUUAUGGGACGAUAAUGACGGUACCAUAGGAGGAAGUCACGACUAACUACGU
rnacentral:rRNA from 1 species